GUGUAGUUGGUUUUGAUUAGUGCCUGUACCUGGCACCAUCAUUUAACUUUUUCAGUGCCCUUACCUAGAUUGCAGUGUUUGUACAAGCAGAGUUCAGGUCCUAUCUGCCUCUGGGACCCACCCAAAACUUAGCUCAGGAUGACCAGGAGCAGAGGAUGUGCUGCCUCUCUGUUUACACCUGUCCACAAUAGCAUUUCAUGACAGGGCCCCACAGCAGGGAGCGAGAGAUGGGGGUGAACGACUUCAUGAUGUCCUGCCAAUACGGCACUCCUCACCAUUGAUCUCCCUUCACUUCCGCGGCAGGGUGCCCCACUUUCCAAGCCCCUGCCCAGCUGACCCAGCCUGGAGAACAGCUUCAGCCACGACAGCUCUGGUUCCCCGGAGAAAAAAGCAGGAUGGCUGCUGACACCUAACUUCCGAGAGGAAGGCAAUUUCUGCAGCUAGACGAAUGCUGUACUGGAGAAGAAGGGCCUCUUUGAAGGAACCAAGGCUAUCAGACGCCAUCUUCUCUUCCCAGAUCAGGACUCCGUGCUCCAUGUGAGAAACAGAGCCUAUUCCUCUGUGUCAGGAGGAAAAAUGAGCACAGUCAAAAGCAAUGGCCCUCAGGGGGUGGGUGAGUUUUCUGCUAUUAAAAAUUACUAUAGGGCUGUGGCCUCCCCUGGGAGGCGGCUUCUGAGGACUGCUGAGGCCCAGGAUGGUGCGGGGAGGUAGGGGAGCACCUGGGAGCAGCUUAGUUCAGGCUGCAGUUUGCAGCCUGGUGGCCUCACUAGCAGCUUGGGUUACAACCCUGAAAGUAGGCCAAAUGACAGAAUGGCUUCUGUUGUAAACAAAUUUUCUCUGUUGACUGCAUCACCCAGAGAAAUGGAGCUUAGGAACCACUGGCUUUGUGCCAGGAAAAGGAGCUGGUUUUCCUAAGGACUGGGGUGGGCAGUGCUCCUGCUGUUUGCUGGGGAGGGACAGGGAUGCUAACUUUCCUGUAGCCCAGAGGAUGGUCCUGGACCACAAAGAACUGUCCUCCCAAAAUGCCCUCAUGCUUGGACAGACCUGCUCAAACCCCUACAGGAGGUGCCAAAUUCUUCCUACUCUUCACCUCAUCCCAAAGUCGCUAAUAGCUUGGCCUCCUUUCCCUUCCUCAAAGGGAAACGCAGCUAGCCCCUGCCUCAGGGCCUUCGCAUUUGCUCCUUCCUCUUUCUCACUUUAUUCAGGUCUCUGCUCCAAGGUCACCUCCUCAAGUGAGGGCUUUGUUGAUCACCCUACCUGACAUAGC
rnacentral:lncRNA from 1 species